rnacentral:rRNA from 1 species
GACGAACGCUGGCGGCGUGCUUAACACAUGCAAGUCGAACGGAAAGGCCCUGCUUUUGUGGGGUGCUCGAGUGGCGAACGGGUGAGUAACACGUGAGUAACCUGCCCUUGACUUUGGGAUAACUUCAGGAAACUGGGGCUAAUACCGGAUAGGAGCUCCUGCUGCAUGGUGGGGGUUGGAAAGUUUCGGCGGUUGGGGAUGGAUUCGCGGCUUAUCCGCUUGUUGGUGGGGUAGUGGCUUACCAAGGCUUUGACGGGUAGCCGGCCUGAGAGGGUGACCGGCCACAUUGGGACUGAGAUACGGCCCAGACUCCUACGGGACGCAGCAGGGGGGAAUAUUGCAGAAUGGGCGGAAGCCUGAUGCAGCAACGCCGCGUGCGGGAUGACGGCCUUCGGGUGGUAAACCGCUUUCUCCGGUGACGAAGCGUGAGUGACGGUAAUGGGUAAAGAAGCAACGGCUAACUACGUG